UACGUAGGGGCCUAGCGUUGUCCGGAUUUAUUGGGCGUAAAGAGCUCGUAGGCGGCUUGUCACGUCGGGUGUGAAAGCCCGGGGCUUAACCCCGGGUCUGCAUUCGAUACGGGCUGGCUGGAGUGUGGUAGGGGAGAUCGGAAUUCCUGGUGUAGCGGUGAAAUGCGCAGAUAUCAGGAGGAACACCGGUGGCGAAGGCGGAUCUCUGGGCCAUUACUGACGCUGAGGAGCGAAAGCGUGGGGAGCGAACAGG
rnacentral:rRNA from 1 species